rnacentral:misc_RNA from 1 species
GUCGUAACAAGGUUUCCGUAGGUGAACCUGCGGAAGGAUCAUUACCAUAAUACCAAAACCAAAAAAAACAAACUACGAAGAGGAAACGUGACGUUCGUGUAUACGUCGUUGCGUCAGUACUCUUUGUAUGUCUCGUGAUACUUAACAACUAUCAUAUUUUAUCCAUUAUGCUUCUUUCACGACGUAGACGUAACAGUCUGAAGUAAUCGAAGAUACCAAAUGUAACUAGAGAACUAGUGACGAAAUCUGUCAGUCAUGACAUGAUUAUCUAAUAAUCAAUGACCAAACAGUUUCAGCAACGAAUGUCUAGGUUCCUA